AGAAAUUUAGGUUAAUAUAAAACCAAGAGCCUUCAAAGCCCUAAAAGGAAGUACCAAGCUCCCAAUUUCUG
rnacentral:tRNA from 1 species